GACGAACGCUGGCGGCGUGCUUAACACAUGCAAGUCGAACGGAAAGACCCUGCUUUUGUUGGGUGCUCGAGUGGCGAACGGGUGAGUAACACGUGAGUAACCUGCACUUGACUUUGGGAUAACUUCAGGGAACUGGGGCUCUUACCGGAUAGGAUCUCCUGCUGCGUGGUGUGGGUUGGAAAGUUUCGGCGGUUGGGGCUGGACUCGCGGGUUAUGAGCUUGUUGGGCGGGUAGGGGCUUUCCAAGGCUUUGACGGGUAGGCGGCCUGAGAGGGUGACCGGCCACAUGGGGACUGAGAUACGGACCAGACGCCUACGGGAGGCAGCAGUGGAGAAUAUUGCACAAUGGGCGGAAGCCUGAUGCAGCAACGCCGCGUGCGGGAUGACGUCCUACGGGGUGUAAACCGCUGUCGCCUGUGACGAAGCGUGAGUGACGGUAAUGGGUAAAGAAGCACCGGCUAACUACGUG
rnacentral:rRNA from 1 species